CGUACACAGCGAAGAUAAGAUUAUCAGAUUGAUUGACUUGAUUAAAUCUAACCAUCUAGAUUAUACUUUUUUUUGAACUGGUCUAGAUUAUACUAAUCCCGAGUCAAAUGUGCGCAUAGCAAUUACCUGGAGCGGAAAACGCUCUGCCGGCAGAGAAAAGCGGCCGCGACUCUCGGCGCAAAACUUCCCAUGUAAAAAAAAACUCCCCCAUCUGCCCACAACAGAAAAGCCAAAACAAAUCUCACGCCCGCGCCGCCGUUCGCCUGCCCCUGCCGCCCUACCCGCGCCGUCAUUCACGCCUCCCUGGACUGGCGCGUCUCCCCUCCACGCGUGGCCUGCAGCGUUGGGCCAAUUGCCGAACCGCAGCGAACGGCCGCAGAGAGGAACGAGAGGAGGAGAGGGAGAGAGGCGUGGCUCGCCGGCCGGCGGAGGCACGAGACCUCCUCACUGGCGGCAGGAGGAGAGGGUGAGAGACGUGGCGAAUGGGUACGGCUCGCCGGCCGGCUGAGGCGUGAGAUCGGCGACGAACGUGAGCCCUUAAGUUCUGCAGCUUGGCCGUGAACGUGCCGCGCAUGCUGCGUCAAGUCGGUGGCGGCGGCGCGUUCCACCCACUCAGCUCGAACGGCAGAUGCCCAGCACCACCGCGAGGGUUGAAGGCGUGUUCCAUCUCAUUGUCGUUGUCGCAAUGGGCCGGCAGCAAGCCACCGAAUGAUCUAUCAGCGAAGACGCUAGGAGUCUCAGCUGCAGAAGGAUGCACAUCCUCACAAGGGGAGGUCCUCGAGUUCCAAAGACAAGGGCAGAGGACGCGAUGAGGACAAGGACAGAGGUCGCUACAGGCGCCGUGGGGAAGACAGGGUGUGGCACCGGGACAGGGAGAGUGUCUGUGUAACCAUGACUGCGGUGGUCGGGACAGGGCCAGUGAUCGCCACCAUCGUGAGCACCGUGAGAGGGGUGAAAUAAGGGAGCACUGUGACCGUUUCGAUGAUCGUGACCAUCGCCGGAGCCGUGAUCAUGAUGCUGAAAGGGAACAAUGAUGAAUUCUAUGGAGGAUGCUCAUGGAAGGAAAGGCUCUACUGUCUCAACAAGGAUGGAAAGCAUAACAACAUACACAAACCAACGUGGAGAACCCAAAUCUGGACAGAUGAGACCUGGAAGAUACACCAGAAACUGAAGAAAAAGUUCUCAAAAGUGCGGAAGACGAUAUAGAGGCUGGCGAUCAACUCUAAGCUCCACUUACAAGGCAUACAAAACAGAUGCAGCUAGAUUGGCUAAUCUGCUAGAAGAUUUACAGCCAGAAGAGUGGGAAUGGAUGAUUGAGUACUUUGGCACUGAUUCAGAAUUUCAGGAAUGCAGCCAAAAGAACACCGAUAGUCGUAAGAAAUAGAAGACAAACACAUAUUUGGAUCAAAAUCUUACUCGCAACUAAGUUUUGAGAAGAGAAACUUGGAAACUGGAGAAGAGCCAAAUUGUAUUGCUCUGUGUGAACUCACCCACACGAAGAAUGGAACAUGGCCUGGCACAGAGUCCCAGAAUGUUUACGUGAGUACACUGACUUUUGGUUAUUCUAUAGUUAUUCAACAAUGUGCAUUCGGCAUGCUUCUGCAUCAGCUGGGAUUAUUCAUGCGUUGGAUCGUGUUAUUCUUGUUUCAUCUUUUAUAGUGUCAAUAUUGAUGCCGCA